rnacentral:ncRNA from 1 species
GCCUCUACCACUCCACAAACAUGGUAGUCCAGCCGUGAAAAAAAGGAGGAAAAGUUCAAGCCCGGACUCGGGCUGCGGCAGUGUGGAGACCUGUCGCAACGCGGACUCUUCCAUCGCGGAGAGCCGUGAGUGCACAUCAAGCGGAGGCUGUGUGCACAGAGUCGAGAAACAUGGCA